rnacentral:rRNA from 1 species
AACGAACGCUGGCGGCAGGCUUAACACAUGCAAGUCGAGCGCCCCGCAAGGGGAGCGGCAGACGGGUGAGUAACGCGUGGGAAUCUACCCAACCCUACGGAAUAACGCAUGGAAACGUGUGCUAAUACCGUAUACGCCCUACGGGGGAAAGAUUUAUCGGGGAUGGAUGAGCCCGCGUUGGAUUAGCUAGUUGGUGGGGUAAAGGCCUACCAAGGCGACGAUCCAUAGCUGGUCUGAGAGGAUGAUCAGCCACAUUGGGACUGAGACACGGCCCAAACUCCUACGGGGUGCAGCAGUGGGGAAUAUUGGACAAUGGACGCAAGCCUGAUCCACCCAUGCCUCGGAAGUGAUGAAGGCCCUAGGGUUGUAAAGCUCUUUUGUCCGGGAAGAUAAUGACUGUACCGGAAGAAUAAGCCCCGGCUAACUUCGUGCCAGCCGCCGCCGUAA